UACGUAGGGGGGCUAGCGUUGUCCGGAAUCAUUGGGCGUAAAGAGCGUGUAGGCGGUCCGGUAAGUCCGCUGUGAAAGUCGGGGGCUCAACCCUCGAAUGCCGGUGGAUACUGUCGGGCUUGAGUACGGAAGAGGCGAGUGGAAUUCCUGGUGUAGCGGUGAAAUGCGCAGAUAUCAGGAGGAACACCAAUUGCGAAGGCAGCUCGCUGGGACGUUACUGACGCUGAGACGCGAAAGCGUGGGGAGCAAACAGG
rnacentral:rRNA from 1 species